UACGGAGGGGGCUAGCGUUGUUCGGAAUUACUGGGCGUAAAGCGCACGUAGGCGGCUUUGUAAGUUAGAGGUGAAAGCCCGGGGCUCAACUCCGGAAUUGCCUUUAAGACUGCAUCGCUAGAAUUGUGGAGAGGUAAGUGGAAUUCCGAGUGUAGAGGUGAAAUUCGUAGACAUUCGGAAGAACACCAGUGGCGAAGGCGACUUACUGGACACAUAUUGACGCUGAGGUGCGAAAGCGUGGGGAGCAAACAGG
rnacentral:rRNA from 1 species